UACGGGAGGCAGCAGGGGGGAAUAUUGCACAAUGGGCGCAAGCCUGAUGCAGCCAUGCCGCGUGUAUGAAGAAGGCCUUCGGGUUGUAAAGUACUUUCAGUCGUGAGGAAGGUGUUAAGGUUAAUAACCUUAGCAAUUGACGUUAGCGACAGAAGAAGCACCGGCUAACUCCGUGCCAGCAGCCGCGGUAAUACGGAGGGUGCGAGCGUUAAUCGGAAUUACUGGGCGUAAAGGGCACGCAGGCGGUUAAUUAAGUUGGAUGUGAAAUCCCCGGGCUUAACCUGGGAAUGGCAUUCAAGACUGGUUAGCUAGAGUCUUGUAGAGGGGGUUAGAAUUCCAUGUGUAGCGGUGAAAUGCGUAGAGAUGUGGAGGAAUACCGGUGGCGAAGGCGGCCCCUGGACAAAGACUGACGCUCAUGUGCGAAAGCGUGGGGAGCAAACAGGGAUUAGAUACC
rnacentral:rRNA from 1 species